CUGGAGAUCUUUGCAUACCUGAGGCAUUUUGAAGUCUGAACAGCCCCAGCUCUCUCAUCAGACUGUCCUUGUAGGAGAGGUGCUCCACCCCUUGGAUGAUGUUUGUUGCCCUCCUCUGGAUGUGCUCCAACAGGUUUAUGUCUCUCCUGUACUGAGGUAAUCCACAUUUGGAUGCACUACUCCAGGUUCUAAAAAAAAAAAGUGUCAUUGAAUCAUGAGUUCUUUUUGUAGUUUUCUCUGGAUUACUUUUCCAAGGACGGUAUUUGUAUUUCAAGUUAGUCAAGGGAAGUGUCUCUUUUCUACUGACGAUAUCCUAGCGUGAUGUAAUCUCCUCUUCAACUUCACUAUUGUUUAUAGUUUGUUUUUGAUGUUGUUGAUGUGACUUGAUGCUUGGAGGGAAUUCCUCAGAUUCCCCUAUUUUCGCUUGAAUAGAAAAGUUACACAGGCCAACAAAGGAAAGGUUGCAUACAUGGAAAACUUAGAGCUCAAAACCAAUCACGGUAGCCUAGAGACAGGAAUUUAAAAUAUGCUUUAGAAGAAACGUCACCAACAAUGGAACGCAAGGACCUACAGAUCUUUGAGAAGUUGUGCUUCGCUUAAGCAAAGUUGGAAAUUAAGACUCUUGCAGUAAAAACAUCUGUUGCAGCCACACUUCUAUUGUAAAUAUGAUUGUGAUCACAAAUAUCAUGCUGCUCUUCAAAAUAAGUGGCUACCUAUGUAGCUGUACAUUGGAGGCAACUCCAUUAAGCCAGUGGAAUUUCUCCAGUAUGAAAUAAUUCAUCAGUCCAGGCUGGUAGAUAGCACUGCUUUAAAUUUUAAUGACUUAAAACUUGUUUGAAUAGCACUUCCAUUGAGAAAUGCUGCUGCUUUUUUCUACUGUUAAAAAGACUGUUUUCAUGUAGAAAAUCAGUUGUAAAGCAUAUUUUCAUUAUUUAGGAUGUACAAUACAGAAUAAAUACCCACAGUGAGUAAC
ensembl:lncRNA